UUCUCCUUCAGGAGGCAUCAUGACGAUGGUAAGAAUUUCAUAUCUGCAUCUUAGUUUUUCAAUUUUACUUAGACGGUCUUGAAAUUCAGCACUGAUUGAUGGAAGAAAGUGAACACACAUUGAUUGAGAUGUUUAAGAAAAUAUAUGUUUCUGUCUUGUACCAUUUUAUGGACUAUUUCUUCUAAACUGCACUUGCUGCUACCACAGUAAUCUGAACAUACACGGAGCCAGCCAUGAAAGCAGUACUGCUAUUGCUGUCAGGUAGGCUUAUUUGUUCCCAGUCCUCCCCAACCCCAGACAUCUGGUCCUCUUCCCACCCCCACAACUUCUCUCACACUACUGCUUAAAAUGGACAAAUUUCAGAUCCCUCGCAUCACAGGAAGCUCUCUAAUAUACCUCCCCCAAGCCUCACAUUUUAAAGCUUUGGCAUUUAAGUCCUACAGCUGCACAAGAUGCCCCCUGCUGAUCAUUUCUUAAUAUUGCUACUGCUAAAUGAGAAUAAGCAACAGCAGGCAACAACCCCAAAUCAAAUUACAGGCAAGUACUAAUUAGCUGCGUAAUUGUCAAAGGAAAAACAUACAGUCUGCGCUCUGGGUGAGGAGUUAAGCUUUAGUCACACUAAAUCACUCUAAUUUCCUAUUGCGUGGGGUGUGGUUUGCAGAAGGGUGAAUAAAACCCUGCCAACUCAGCUGUUGAGCAUUUGCUAGCUUCCUAGUUAGAUUUAACCACUCACUACAAGACCGAUAUUAAGAGGUCAGAACUAAAGAUUAUAAACACCUAUUUUGAAUUAAUUCUCUUAUUAUGAAGGCAACAAAGAAGUCUGUGCUUUCUCGUAACUUUCUAAUAUCCGUUUACCACAGUGUAAUCAACUAACUGGUAUAUGUGUACCAUUUCUGGUCUACAGGAGAUUAAAAGCUCCACUACAAGGGACUGUUAAUGGCGAUUCUCAGAAUGCUUGUAAGAAUUGUUCACCUACUGGGUCACCGAUGAAGACCAGAGUUUUCUCUACUACUUUAUUCCUGAUGAUGAGAGAACUUGCUCUGCCUUGUUGUACAGUGUAUCUCGAAGACGUUUCAAUUCCAAUUUUAAGAGGUUAUCUUCAAUCAUCAAAUCCUAUCAAAUGCCAAAAAAGAGAAAUAGUACAAAAUUAAAAGGAAUUUAGUGGUGUCUGAAGACCAGACUGUUGAGUGGAUGAGGCUUUUUCUAUGGCAAAUGUCUUCAGUUUGAAUAAUGCCAGUAUAUGGUCCUGGCAUUAAGAAGAACCAAGGCAAUUAAGUUUCCACAAACCUAAAAAAGCAAAAUUGUCUUAAACUGAGAGCCAAAUUUGGAUACUCUUACUCCAUGAGUGGUGCCAAUUGACUGAGACGGGACUUCCCAACAUGACAGGGAAUGGCAGAACCUGGCCUGGUACAGCCAGGAGGAGGAUCUGGCCAUUUUGAGCACCAUAGAGAGUCAACAAAAAGGAAGAAAGCCAACCUGAAGGAAUAAAAGUUAGCCUAAUGGCUUGGAAAAAAAGAAAAGACAUAGAAACCAUCUCAUUUUCCAGCCGUUGAAUCUCUUUUUUGAGUCGUCCAAGCUCUCUCUCAGCAAGGGCUUUAAAGUGCUCUUCGGUUUCAAUUUCAUUCUCUCUGGCUCUGUGAAGAGACUAUAGAAUAAUAUAGUUCAUUAUUUUGCAUGGAAUCGUUAACUGGCAUAUAACACCCAAUAUUAUUUUAAUUAUUUCACCAAAAUCAGAACUCUACUAAAGGUAACACUGAUAUAAAAUGAUGAAAUUUACAUCUCGGGAUUUUACAGAACUAAAAUAAAAAUGCCUAUGGAGGCUUUUGAAAUUCAGAGUCUGAUUUGCACUGGUGUAAAUUCAGAGCAACUCCACAUAGUGGUGUUUGGACUUUUAGAUAUGGAAUUAAUAUAAAAAAAUCAAUGACCUGUAUCAAAUGUUCUCAGAUUAGCCUUCCUUAUCUAGCGAAGUGAUUCAAAAACAUUUCGUACAAGAUUCAGAAUCUGUUAUUUCACUGUUCUAUAGUUCAGAGCCAAACAACAGUACAGAUAAUCAUAUUCAAACUAGUCUCUCCAUCAUCAUGUAGCUUUCUGUCUGAAUCAGGAGGCAAAGCAGCAAAGAGUAUUCUAUUGUUUUGAGCUGAGAUGGAUUAGCUGACAUAGAUAUUGCCACAUGCCAGCUGGGUGCCUCUUUUUGUCUGGCAAAUUGCUUUAAUAUAUUUUCUCCUAUACAAUACCCAAUCUUUUACCUACUGGAAGUCCUUCUCUUACAGAAGAAGGAGCACAUGGUGUUCUUCAUCUCGAUUGCUAAUUAAAACUUGCAUCUAGCACAUUAAAACUAAGAGGUUGUUCAGCUGCAGGGAAGCCAUCUAUCAGCCUCUCAGUGCGCUUUCACAUAGGUUGUAUCAGUAGAUUCAUUAUCUGAGUUUCUAAUCAGACAUCCAUUUGAAAUAAUAGGCUGUGAUUUAGUGAUUUGGGGGCAUCUAGCGUGAGACUCCUUAAAGGGGUUCAUUUUCAGAAAGUUCUGAGCACCUGCCUUUGAAAAUUGGGCCCCUUUAAAGUGUGUGAAGUUGGGUAUCCAAAAACAGAGGCACCCAAAACCACUAAUCAUUUGAAAAUUUGAGCCUUAACUCUUAGCCACAUAACUAGUCAUAGAGUUUAAGGCCUGAAGGGACCACCAGCUCAUCUAGUCUAGUAUAUCACAAGCCACCAACAUCACCUUGCACCUGCACACUAAACCCAACAAAUUAGGCUCUCUGCAACUCCAGGGAAUUCUCCAGCAGUAGGGAAUAGAAAAUUAAUUUUUGCCUCCUGAAUGAGAAAUAACCUUCACAGUGGAUGACAAAGUGAAAUCUCUGUGGAGACUCCAUGAGGUUAGUCAUAUUUUUCAUCAUAUGGAACUCUAAAGAACUGAUAUAGUCAAAAUAAAGUUAUGAAGCUGCUAAAAGCCUAUUAGGAGGUCCCAGUAAAAUAUAGUCUGCAUUUGGUGACUUUCAACAGAUGCUCUUCAAAUGCUUUAAGAAGUGGUUAAAUAGUAGUCAUUUUCACGGACGGGGAAAUGGAGGCACUAAAGAGUAAUGUCUUUCUCCAGAUCACACAGCAAAUUGGUGCCAGAUUAGGGAACAAAGUCCAGAAAUCUGAUUUUGAACUGUCAAGGUAAGUUUACACUACAAUUACAUAUCUCUGUCUGGCCCAUGUCAGCUGAGCUGGGCUUGCAGAGCUUAGGCCGCAGCUCUGGAAGAUUACAGCAUCGACGCUCAGGCUGGAGUUAAGAGCUUUUGGAUUCUGUGAGUGGGGAGGGUCCCAGAUCUCGGGCUGGAACAUCUACACUGCAAUUUUACAGCUCUGCAGUCCAAGCCCAACUCAGCUGACAGGGCCAGCUGUGGCCCUCAUACUGGUGUGAAAGCAGUAACUCCAUUGAUCUGAAUGGAGUUGUUUCUAAUUUAUAGUGGUUUAAGUGAGGUCAGAGGCAGGCCUCUGGUCUCCUGAGUCCCAGUCCCAUGCUUUAAACGAUAGAAAGUUACAGCAUUCAUUUAUGCACCAUUUUAGAAAAACAACUUGUUUAUAUCAUUAAUGGUAUCUCAUACCAAGGUCUACGCUGGAUCCCACUUUGGUCUGAGUGCAAUUGAAGCUGUUAAUAUUGAUCUAGAAAAUCCUGUAGGGUUUGGGUUCUAGCUACUCAGAGAGAGCCUCAUUUCCUAACACGUGUAGUCACAACAGCUGAGAUCCCUAGAUUAGAUGUAUGAGGACAUGCAUUUAUCUGACAAUUUGGGCUCAUAUGUCCUAAACAUAUGACUCUCAGAGUGCAAAGCAGAGUUCUCUCUCGCCUUAUCAUCUUGUUUCACUUUUCAAGUCCAAGAAUUAAGUCCCCAUUAGCAUUUGGCAAUUAACCAUCUUCUAAUCAAUACAAACAUUUUCCUUUUACAAUUUUUUUUUCCAGAUUGAGACAGUUUUAUUUUUUUCCUGGGUCAGACUUAUCUAUUGCCUCUGUAAGUCCCCAUUGCCAAACUAUCCCAAAAUCUGUCCCUCCAGGCUUCAUUCCAUGCACAAUCAUUAUUUAUUCAUUUUUAAUUACCAUAAAAUAAUAUUUUUGAGACAUGCCUUCAUUUGUUUCCUAGGCAAGUACUGGAAGAUAAUAAGGCUGGGAGGUCUCUCAUCAGUAGUAAAAUGUAUUCAGACAAAUAGAUAUGAGUACAAACUAGAGAAAAAUAUCAGACAGAAUUCUAAACUCGAUAAGGAGGAUCUACUAGUUACAAAAUUUACCUGUGUAAAGUUGAACUCCUGUCUGACGUUUUUCAAAUGUGAUGUCAUUGCCUCAAUACGCUCUUCAAAGUCAGUCAACUGAUUUUUUAAGUUUGCCUUUUCUUUCUGCAACUUUUGCAACUGUAAACAAACAAAAUCUGCUAUAUUCAAUAAACUAUACCAUUUAACAAGCAA